AUACUUACCUGGCAGGGGGAGAUACAUGAUCAUGAAGGUGGUUCACCCAGGUGAGGCUCAGCCAUUGCACUCAGGCUGUACUGACCUCUGUGAAUUCCCCAAAUGUGGGAAUCUCAACUGCAUAAUUUCUGGUAGUGGGGGACUGCGUCCGCGCUCUCCCCUG
rnacentral:snRNA from 1 species